rnacentral:lncRNA from 1 species
CCUGAACCGCUGGCACUUUAAUUCUGACGACGACGACGACGACGCCUUGAUUAGCCUGCAAAUACUACUGCAUGCAUCUGCCGCAUGCCGCCGCACAGUACCUGCGUGCACGAGCAGUACCCGCUGGUCAUCGAUCGGAUGGAGUUGAAGUAAACACAUCGACUAUUGAAUUGAUCCGCACAGUACACAUCGCUUUGCUUAAUUCGUCACUCACUGUGGUAGUAGUAGCUGUAGCUGCUCUCUGAUCGGCAGCGCCGGCCUCCUGCAGCUAGUAGACCGCUACACACCAGACUACAGAGUCUACAGUAUAGUCUCUCCC